AUGAAUAAAGCCUUCGAUGGUCAUACACCCAAUGAAAAUAGUUUGUUGGAUCUCGAUCGUAGUGAUACACAUAUUCAUAAUAUUGAUGCCAAAGGUGCAAAGUUGAUAACGAUAGUGCAAUUUAUUUGUGGCACUGCCGUUUGGGUCAUAUCGGUGUAA
rnacentral:rRNA from 1 species